ensembl:lncRNA
GCCACAUAGACAACAAUAGAACAUACCAUUGCAUGGCUUGUCUUCACUUCUGUUGGAUUCUCUUAGCCUUUUCAAACUCCUUGGGAGCCCCUUUCUUCAGUAGCCAAUCCCAGGACCCCAAGUCAGUGUGGGUUGGCCUCAUCUUCUCAUGCAGCAGAGAGAAGAGGGAUCUUCAGAAGUUAGCUGUUUCGAAAGUCAGUAUAGAAGUAGAAUUGUUAGCCAGUGGCCAUCUUGUGGCUUUGAUUUAUUUUUUUCAACCAAACCAUUUUCCCCAGAUUAGUCUUCAUCAGGAGUAGAUGACAUGAUUGGGUUAGAGCAUGAGUGAUGUGGAGAAAUCAGGAUGGGACAGGAUGAUACAGAGUCUGUGGGACAAACUGACAAUGGAGGUACAACUCAGACUUUGGGAGCAGAAGGCCACUGUCACCAGGACCACCUGCUUGAAAUCCACGGGAAGUGUUUUUAGUUCCUCCAUUAGCACACGUUCCCUCAACUGGUCCUGUAGGACAACAACGGGGGACCCGGCUCCCUACUACCUCCAGUGGAGAGGAUCCCAGUGAUAGAAUGAGUGUCUGGAGCUGGAUGCCAGCUGUGACCCCACCUGUCCCCCCUGAACUAUGCACAUCAGCCUCCAAAGGAACCUGAAACUUCCGAAAGCAGAAAUGGAGGUGAUCACACUGCUGGUUCAGGGCAAUGACUGUCAUGGACACAUAUUUCAACAUUCAAGGAUGUCCAGGUAGACGGAGAUAUGCUAAUAGUUUCCAGAGAGGUGGGGAAACUGCUGGUUCAAUGAUUGUCCCCAUCAGGCUGGGGGAUAAUGAAAAGUCUCUUUCUUUGGCUCAAAUAGCUUCCUCCUGUUGGUUGACUUUUUUUUUUCUUUCCAGAAGAGAAGUGUUUUACUUAUUGAAUUAUAUAAAGCUGAAGUUACUGGAUUUGUUAUAGAAGAGGUUUGUUAUUCCUAAUUUACUGUUUGUGCUUUGCUUCAGGACAAUUUUAUUGUACAAAUCUAUCAUUAUGAACUGAACUUUAAAAUGCAAAAGACUUAAGUGGAAUUUUAAAUAUUUCCUAUAAUUAUUUCACAAUAGCAUAUGGAUUAACAAAUAACCCAGAGUAGAGGACAAGAGCAGAGAUGUUUAUGGGGGGGGGGAUAGUACAAAUGAAAUAUGGUUUGGCCAGGUUUAAUACACACAGAAUAUACUUUAAUACUUUCAUAUGGUCUGAAUAAUAUCCCCAUAUUGAUUUUUUCCUUGUUUCUACCAACUCCGCAGCAAAUGUACGACAAUGGCUCCUUGAUUUAUUGCGAGUGUAGCAAUGGGUUUAUAACGGCAUGAAUCAUGCCGAUUGCUCAAUUCACCACAUGCCUUAAUAAAAGUUUCACUUUAAUAAAACUGAGCUAAGGCAAAUAUGCCUAGAGGCUGGUCUGACAUUCCUUAUACAUUACCCUGCCUCAGGAAAUUAUUGCCAUAUAUUUUACAGCAGCUACAGUAGGCUAGGGGAUCAGGAUUAAAAUCUACUAACUACCGUGAUAUUUAACAGAACUCCUGUGUUCCCAGUUAACCCUCACAGGUACAAAAUGGACAGCUAGCUAUUAAGAGAUAGCCCAGUGGAGAGGUGAGCUGGACUGGGAGCCAGGCAGCAGGGAUCAGAUCUGACCCUUGUCACACCACACAUGCCCCUGAAGCUCUCUGUGCAAUGGAGGUGGAAGAGCACCUCCUGUUUCCUUCCCAAGUGAGAGUCAGCAUCAUAGGAGAAAAAGAAGGCAGCAGAUAGCAGGCAGUGGUGCCAUCUGCAGAAACAGGCUGACUCUUUGGCAGGACUAAGCAUCCUAGUUGUUAGCAACAGCUUAUUUGCAUGAAGAACGGGUACAAAUCUCUUUAAAGAAGUCUCAGGGCUCAGGGAUGAAAGGCCAGUCCUUCUAGAAACUCCAGACUGGUUUUCAUCUUCUCUAGUAAGAGCUGGAAAUGCACAACCAUGCCGGCAUUGUUUUGAAAAAAAUCUAAGCCAGAGUGUGAGAAGGCAGGCCAUGAACUGAGGGCUGCCGUUCGAACGACUUAUCACCUGCUGGCUAUUUCUCUGGAAGAAAUUAUGAUUAGAUGAUACUGUUCUGUGGGGACUAGUGCAGUGUUUAUUAGUCCCUAAGACCAAGCAAGCCUCUAUGGAUUUUCUAGCCAAUGUGAAUCAUUUAGGCCUUACUGAGGAGUGUUACAUACACUAAGAAAGUGGCUUGAUCCUCUGGUAAAUCAGGCAUCUGUGUUACCAGAGACAAGCUGCAAAAUCUCUCUGGGCUUUUGCUUCUUAGUCUGUCAAAUUUACUGAAGUGGAAAAUGCAAAAUGCUUGGGCACAUAAUAGACAGUUAGAGAUGGAUUCUCUGUCCCCACUCACAUCUAUUUUGUAAUAAUUUGCCAGCAUCUCCAUGAUUGGACUGCCUCCCUCACGUAGCUCUCUCCUGGUCUUGCACCAGCUCUCGGCUCUAAUUUUCCCUAGGUAACAGUUCAAUAGGAAAGGGCUUGGUCUGCCCAGCAUCCUAUACUAGUUUCAUGGACUUCUUUCUGCUAUGACAGCAUCUUCCUCACAUUUAACUGCUACUCAAGCACUCUAUAUACAAAUGAGAAUUUGUUCCCCCAUCUCCAGCUAGAGCCUUGAAGGAAUUUUUGUUUUCCUACGUUUUGUUCCUCUUGUGUUAAAUUUUGUGUCUGGUACCUGGGAAAGAUGGUCAAUAGUGAACAAAUGACUGUGUGGGCAAAUGCUAACUAAAUCAAUGGGUCCAUGCUUUGGAGCCAGAUCAAAUCUCAAAGACUGUUUUCACAGAGGUGAACUUGAUCAUAUGUUUUACAAAUGAGGGAAGACUAUGGAGAAACUGAUGAGCCAAAACUUAAUUGGCAACCUAAAGCUAUUGCUUCUAAGGUUGAAUACUGCAGUGAUACCUGACAGAUCGUUAUGGACCAUUAUGUACUAGACAGUCUGCUUAUCACUCUGCCUGCCUCACAUACUUAGACAACUCAGUGACAUAAAAAGCACCAUCCUCCCCAUAUUCCAACCUAAUACACUUGAGUCCAGAGACAUGAAAUAACCCUACCAAAGCUAUGCAACUCACAACAGCCAUGCUACCACAUGAAUAUGAGUCAGUUCUAUAUUUUCUGUAAAUCCCCGAUGAGUGCCCAGACUACUGGAGUCCACAAAAGAGAAAUACUUCCAUGAGAAACGUAUGGUCUUAGAGUGAACCAAGCUUACCGUGAACAGUCUGGUUGAGCCUGACUUCCCCCUGGUCCAUGCUUUGAGGUUUGCCAUAUUUUCCUCACUUUCACCCAACAGAAGCAGUUGAAAUAAAAGCCACCAUCAUCAAGCAGGAACCUGGUUGUCAAGAGAAAUGAAAUGUCCAGGGGCCGCUUCAGUCAUACCAUUCAUUAAUGGGUUUAUCGGGAACUCUCUUGACAUUGUCUAACGAUGACAUUUACAAAAAUCCCAAAUUUGAAAAUAAAUAAGUUGGCUGACAUACAGACAUUUUACAUAUGAGUUUAAUAAAAUAGAUCUUUUUUUCUGUUUGAAAUCUUUGGUAAUCUCUGAAAUAUAUCAACUGCAACCCAGGAACAUUGUAUCCCAAGUCGUGAUUCAUGAAAUGAAACGGAAAUGUAUUAUGUAAUUCAAUUGGGAGAGUCCAGCCCAGAGCUCAUUAAGGCCGUUGCUGGUGAUGUGGCCUGCACUCGGCAGGCUCUGUGGUUUGGGCACGCUUUUCUCAGGCCUAACCUCCCCUUCCUCUGAGGACAUUUUAACUAAAUAUCGUCACCCUUUUCAAAACAGCAUUCUUGAGAAUUUGCCCACAGACUAGGAUAAUUCACAGGAAAUCUUAAGAGAAAUUGCGAUUCUUUUCCUCUCACCUCCAACUUUACCAUUACCCCAUCUCAAUGAGUCAGGUACAGAACUGAUGCAAUCCUUCCAGUAUCCUCACCACUGGGUUCCAGGUACAGCUGCUCAUCGGCAGGUAAACACAUUGUGCCAUUUAAGGAGACAGGAGCCCCAGGAAAUGAAGCAAUUUCUCCAGCGUCUAAGGCUCUAAUGCAAGGACUACACAUAGCUCUCAAAUCUCUCCUGUUUUUCCCAAUUUCUUUUUUCUUUUCUUUCCAGUUCAUCACUAAGACAGAGAUUGUAGGCACAGCACAGAUUUUCCUCUCUAUGAUGACUUCCAUGAGAACAAAUAAGGUAGCGGGGGAACACAAUUAUAUAAAACACUUUUCCAUUUGCCCUAUUUCUGCCUCUCAAGUUUCUCUUUCUCUGUCCCUUUUCUUCCUUCCCUCCCUCCCUCCUUUCUCUGUUUCUCCAUGUGAGAGUGUUUAUAUUUCUUACCAACCUUUAGCAAGUUUAUGUUUGGCUUUUUUUUUCAUUGAGAGUUGUUCUGAGUAAAGAAUGACAGCACAUUGUGGUAUUUUGCAUUUCCUGAGGUCUAAAAAUGAUGUAUUUUUCAUUUGCUCAUUG